rnacentral:rRNA from 1 species
GCUUACGGCCACACCGCCUGGUUCACGCCUUGUUCACGCUUGAUCUCGGAAGCUAAGAUAGGGUGGGCCAGGUUGAGUACUUGGAUGGGAGACCGCCUGGGAAUACCAGGUGCUGUAAGCU